rnacentral:rRNA from 1 species
UACGUAGGGUGCAAGCGUUAAUCGGAAUUACUGGGCGUAAAGCGUGCGCAGGCGGUUUUGUAAGUCUGUCGUGAAAUCCCCGGGCUCAACCUGGGAAUUGCGAUGAGACUGCAAGGCUAGAAUCUGGCAGAGGGGGGUAGAAUUCCACGUGUAGCAGUGAAAUGCGUAGAGAUGUGGAGGAACACCGAUGGCGAAGGCAGCCCCCUGGGUCAAGAUUGACGCUCAUGCACGAAAGGCGUGGGGA